rnacentral:rRNA from 1 species
AAGCGGCAACAGCUCAAAUUUGAAAUCUGGCGCAAGCCCGAGUUGUAAUUUGUAGAGGAUGCUUCUGGGUAGCGACCGGUCUAAGUUCCUUGGAACAGGACGUCAUAGAGGGUGAGAAUCCCGUAUGUGACCGGCCCGCACCCUUCACGUAGCUCCUUCGACGAGUCGAGUUGUUUGGGAAUGCAGCUCUAAAUGGGAGGUAAAUUUCUUCUAAAGCUAAAUACCGGCCAGAGACCGAUAGCGCACAAGUAGAGUGAUCGAAAGAUGAAAAGUACUUUGGAAAGAGAGUUAAAAAGCACGUGAAAUUGUUGAAAGGGAAGCGCCUGCAAUCAGACUUCGCGGCAGUGUUCCGCCGGUCUUCUGACCGGUUUAUUCUCUGUCGCGAGGCCAUCAUCGUCUCGGCCCGCUGGAUAAGACCUUAGGAAUGUAGCUCACCUUCGGGGGAGUGUUAUAGCUUCUGGUGAUGCAGCGAGGCUGGGGCGAGGUCCGCGCUUCGGCAAGGAUGAUGGCGUAAUGGUUGUCGGCGGCCCGUCUUGAAACACGGACCAAGGAGUCUAACAUCUAUGCGAGUGUUCGGGUGUCAAACCCCUACGCGUAAUGAAAGUGAACGGAGGUGGGAACCGCAAGGUGCACCAUCGACCGAUCCUGAUGUCCUCGGAUGGAUUUGAGUAAGAGCAUAGCUGUUGGGACCCGAAAGAUGGUGAACUAUGCCUGAAUAGGGUGAAGCCAGAGGAAACUCUGGUGGA